GUGCUUGUUUCAGCACCAUAUAUACUAAAACUGGAAUGAUAGAGAUUAGCAUGGCCCCUGCGCAAGGAUGACACGCAAACUUGUGAAGUGUUCUGUAUUUUA